UUGAGACCAGUGACUUGUGAGCUU
rnacentral:piRNA from 1 species